UNCCUGCUUGGCCUACUGGGUGAGUGUCAU
rnacentral:piRNA from 1 species